rnacentral:rRNA from 1 species
AUGAUUGGCACCAGUGAUCAAGAGAGUCUACAUCUUAUUCCAACAGACCAGUAUGGUGAUGUCCUUGGGAUGGUUGGCGCUGCCCCAAUGCAAGCCUUUCCACAACCUCCGAGUACAAAGUCUGAUCGACAUGUAGAGAUUGCUGAAGGGGGCUUCUACGUGGAGAGGGAACUUGACGGAGCACUAGGUCUAGGCCACCUAAUGGAACAUUAUGUGGAAUCCCUGCAUGUGCAUGAUGUCUCGGUACGUACUAUUGCACCACAAGGCCUUUGGUGGGGCAAGCUUAGGUGGUGUUGCGUGGAGAGGUGCCCAAAAGUGGAUACCGUUUUCCCUGGGAAUUCAUUCACAUUUACUGCAUUGGAGACCUUGUGGGUGUCAGAUCUCCUGAUGGCCCGCUCGAUUUUGAGUAAAGGUUCACGCUUUUAUCCAUAUGGCGAUACCAAAUCCUUUGAAAAUUUACAGCACCUUCAGCUGCGUUCAUGCCCCACCCUCCAGUUUGUGAUCCCUCUGUGGGUCUCCUCCUUCCCCAGCUUGGAGACCCUCCACAUCAUCCACUGCAGCAACCUCAGCCACAUCUUCAUACUGGACGAAGAAUACCCUGAAGAAAUAACUACCCGCGGUGUACAAUUCCCAAAGCUUACCACCAUCCAACUGCACGACCUCCCAAAUCUGCAGCAAAUAUGCGAGGUCAAGAUGGUUGCCCCUGCGCUCAAGAGCAUCAAGAUCAGGGGAUGCUGGAGCCUGCGCCGGCUGCCAUCCGUGGGCGCACGUGGCAAUGGCAAGAAGAAGCCGGCCAUUGAGAUCGAGAAGGACGUGUGGGACGCCUUGGAGUGGGACGCCCGCCACCGCCCUGCCCACUUCGAGGCGCCUGUCCACUCGUGCUACUACAAGGAGAAGCUGCCCAGGGUCUCCGUCCUCAGGUGA